CGCGUGAACAGCAGAAAGAAAUCCUCUCGUUUCUCUCUCGGUCUUCAGCCAGAGUCGCCUCCUCCUCCUCCUCUCAAUCUCAUCUGCUCCGCCGUUACUGCUACUGUUUUACCAAAGGGACAUGCUGACAGUGGUCUUGACCGACUAUGACAGACUAAAAAAACCUAGAGCUAAGCAACAUUCAAGCGAUAUAUCAGUCUGUUAUCUACUAUUUCUUCCCUCCGAUUUCUGUUCUUGAGGAUACAAGUGUUUAGUAUUUGAACAAAUGUAUAACCAUGAGCAUUUUUUUUGUUUUCAUUGGUAUUUUGACAAUUAAUCUAUGAAAAAAAUACUCAAAGAU